rnacentral:ncRNA from 1 species
GGUCAAGAGAUCCAGCGUCAAGCCCCGGCUUGCUGGACGGCAACCCUCCAACCGCGGUGGGGUGCUCCCGGUGGAGACCUGGCCCCUGGUGGGCAAGCGCGGGU